rnacentral:rRNA from 1 species
UGGGGAAUAUUGCACAAUGGGGGAAACCCUGAUGCAGCGACGCCGCGUGAAGGAUGAAGGUCUUCGGAUUGUAAACUUUUGUCUUCGGGGACGAGAACGGACGGUACCCGAGGAGGAAGCCACGGCUAACUACGUGCCAGCAGCCGCGGUAAUACGUAGGUGGCAAGCGUUGUCCGGAUUUACUGGGUGUAAAGGGCGUGUAGGCGGGCUUUUAAGUCAGAUGUGAAAUGUUGUGGCUCAACCACAAAGCUGCAUUUGAAACUGGAAGUCUUGAGUGUCGGAGAGGAAAGCGGAAUUCCUAGUGUAGCGGUGAAAUGCGUAGAUAUUAGGAAGAACACCGGUGGCGAAGGCGGCUUUCUGGACGAUAACUGACGCUGAGGCGCGAAAGCGUGGGGAGCAAACA